GACGAACGCUGGCGGCGUGCCUAACACAUGCAAGUCGAACGGGUGAUUUCCUUCGGGAGAUCACUUAGUGGCGAACGGGUGAGUAACGCGUGAGAAACCUGCCUCUCAGUGGUGGACAACAGUUGGAAACGACUGCUAAUACCGCAUAACGUUAUCGGAGGGCAUCCUCUGAUAACCAAAGCUUUAUGUGCUGAGAGAUGGUCUCGCGUCUGAUUAGCUAGUUGGCGGGGUAACGGCCCACCAAGGCGACGAUCAGUAGCCGGUCUGAGAGGAUGAACGGCCACAUUGGGACUGAGACACGGCCCAGACUCCUACGGGAGGCAGCAGUGGGGAAUAUUGCACAAUGGGGGAAACCCUGAUGCAGCGACGCCGCGUGAAGGACGAAGGUCUUCGGAUCGUAAACUUCUAUCCUUGGUGAAGAUAAUGACGGUAGCCAAGAAGGAAGCCCCGGCUAACUACGUG
rnacentral:rRNA from 1 species